AACCUUAUGGACCUGCGGGCGUAUACCUGCGGAGGGAUCAUUACAAAAAAGCUUUUGGCGGUUUCGGCCCCAAAGUUACAUCCUGUUUACGCGUAUCAUCAGUUGCUCCUUCGGCGGUCUUCCGCCGGAGGAUGCCCAACAAAACCCUUUUGCAAUAGCCGUAACGUCGAGAUAUAACCUAAUAUAUCACAACUUUCAACAACGGAUCU
rnacentral:misc_RNA from 1 species